rnacentral:rRNA from 1 species
AGCCUUUAGCCAAACAAGUAUUAAAGGUCCCGCCUGCCCAGUGAUAUAUUAAACGGCCGCGGUAUUCUAACCGUGCAAAGGUAGCGUAAUCACUUGUCUUCUAAAUAAAGACUUGUAUGAACGGCUAAAUGAGGGCAAAGCUGUCUCCUAUAACCAAUCAGUGAAACUGAUCUCCCAGUCCAAAAGCUGGGAUACCAACAUAAGACGAGAAGACCCUGUGGAGCUUCAAACUACCCACUAACUAACGGCCACCCGCCGUAAAUAGUGCACAGUUUUAAGUUGGGGCGACUUCGGAAAAAAAUAAAACUUCCGAGCACAGGACCACGAGUCCUAACCAAGACCCACAAACCAAAGUUUAUAAAACCGACCCAGUCAUACUGAUCAACGAACCAAGUUACCCCAGGGAUAACAGCGCUAUCUUCUUCAAGAGUCCGUAUCGACAAGAAGGUUUACGACCUCGAUGUUGGAUCAGGACACCCAAAUGGUGCAGCCGCUAUUAAAGGUUCGUUUGUUCAACGAUUAACAG